GACGAACGCUGGCGGCGUGCCUAAUACAUGCAAGUUGAGCGCUGAAGGUUGGUACUUGUACCAACUGGAUGAGCAGCGAACGGGUGAGUAACGCGUGGGGAAUCUGCCUUUGAGCGGGGGACAACAUUUGGAAACGAAUGCUAAUACCGCAUAAAAACUUUAAACACAAGUUUUAAGUUUGAAAGAUGCAAUUGCAUCACUCAAAGAUGAUCCCGCGUUGUAUUAGCUAGUUGGUGAGGUAAAGGCUCACCAAGGCGAUGAUACAUAGCCGACCUGAGAGGGUGAUCGGCCACAUUGGGACUGGGACACGGCCCAAACUCCUACGGGAGGCAGCCGUAGGGAAUCUUCGGCCAUGGACGAAAGUCUGAACGGGCAACGCCGCGUGAGUGGAGAAGGUUUUCGGAUCGUAAAACUCUGUUGGUAGAGAAGAACGUUGGUGAGAGUGGAAAGCUCAUCAAGUGACGGUAACUACCCAGAAAGGGACGGCUAACUACGUG
rnacentral:rRNA from 1 species